rnacentral:rRNA from 1 species
UACGGAGGGGGCUAGCGUUGUUCGGAAUUACUGGGCGUAAAGCGCACGUAGGCGGCGCGGUAAGUCGGGUGUGAAAUCUCGGAGCUUAACUCCGAAACUGCAUUCGAUACUGCCGUGCUUGAGGACUGGAGAGGAGACUGGAAUUUACGGUGUAGCGGUGAAAUGCGUAGAUAUCGUAGGGAAGACCAGUGGCGAAGGCGGGUCUCUGGACAGUUCCUGACGCUGAGGCACGAAGGUCAGGGGAGCAAACGGG